AACUCCUAAUGCUAAUACUUGGUAUGCACACAAACAGGCAUACAGAGGUCACAUCAAUAUCAUUUCUGCUACUGAACACGUGGGACCUGCCUCAGUGACACCUGUGGUGGGAAGCAGACCUGAUGCUGGCUGCAAUCUGCAAUCAGAGGUCGUUUGUUUUCCUGUAUUGCGUUGCCCAUAUAAACAACUGCUCCAAACUGCCAAACUGCUCCAUUGUAUUGAGGAAAAUAAUAAGAGAGAGAGAAACUGAAAAAGAUCGCCAAAAGAGAAAAAUGUUCUGCCAUCAGUCUCCCAAAUUCUUAUUAAACAACCACGCAAAUGGUGUUUUGCUGGAGUGCCUUCCCAACCUUUAGCUGGCAAUGGAGGGUGGAUGGUUUUCCAAACAUGACAAAGAGAUGCUAACAGGGAUCUACAGUUCAGAAUCGGAUCUCACUGACUGUAUGUGAGUGUGGGUAUCAGCUGAAAUGAGAAGCCCAGUUGCACAGUUGUUCGUGCUGCUCUUGUCUGUUAUGCCAAAUAUUGACAAUAAUGACAGAACUUAGAGGGAAGAUCUAUCAAAAAGGGGAUCCUUGUGUUGCAAGUGAUCCACCUAUUCCAGGAGAUAUCUGACAGGAUCACUUCUUCUCUGUCUACCUGAGGCAAUACAGUGUAGCCAAGUAGUAAAUGUAUAAAGCAACACAAAUAAACACUUGCAUUUCACCGGUGGACAAUUCUAUAUGGCCAUAAACCCAUGUUUCCUAGUUUGUCAGAUUAAGUGGAUAAUGGGGACACCUGAAUAAUGAUGCUGUGAUAAAUCAAGUUUGUGAUUAGAAAGAUGGUAAUUCCUAGGUAAAGGGAAUAGCAGAUGCUUGAGGAAAAGCCGAGUUAAGGGAGCUAAGUAUCAAAUCUCAUUCAGCUUCAACUGCUGUGUUAGUUAUCUAAUUGUGCUGCAAUAAGAAAGCUGCUUUUUAAAGGGCCUAAAGCAUUUUUUUUUUACUUCAAUAACUUUUGACCAAGCUUCCUUGGCCAUUUUUUCCCCCUUUUUUUUUGCCCAACUCUGGCCUUUUCUAAAGAGAGAAGGGAAGUCCUCAUGCCUGAAGUCUAUCAUGGCCUUGACCUGCCAUUGCUAUGUUUUUUUUAUUUUCUAGUACCAGUUUAUUUCCAAUAUCAGGAAGUAUUUCACUGUUUUCAAAUUUGUUUCAAGAUGCAGGGAAUAGAAGAAAGCAGAGGCUGAUUUUAAAGUUUGGUUUUUUUUCUUAGGAUGGAGCUAGUGGAAAAAUUGUCCUGAUAUUUGACCAAGCAAAUUACACCAGCUAGUAGGUGCUUUAAUUUGUGUGCCUGAGGCUUAAACAAUGCCACAUCCACUUAGGGACCUGAGCAUUACUGCUCUGCUCCUGUUACAGUUAGUGAUAUCGAAUCAUGUUACUGUGGAUUUGUGUCUGUAAGUCCUACUGGCUCUGAAUGUGCUUAUGUGUGUAUUUCUAGCAUGGGGAUGGGGGAUGAAAAAUAAAUCUAAUGGUG
ensembl:lncRNA